GUAGGCAAGAUGCCGCAGGUCAGAUGCCUUCUGGCGGCCCCCACGCUAGGCGCCUUCUAAGCGCUUGGCCGCAGGUUCGAGUCCUGCCGGGG
rnacentral:tRNA from 1 species